rnacentral:rRNA from 1 species
UACGGAGGGUGCAAGCGUUAUCCGGAUUCACUGGGUUUAAAGGGUGCGUAGGCGGCCUAUUAAGUCAGUGCUGAAAUAUCCCGGCUUAACCGGGAGGGUGGCAUUGAUACUGAUGGGCUUGAGUAAAGUUGAGGUAGGCGGAAUUGACGGUGUAGCGGUGAAAUGCUUAGAUAUCGUCAAGAACACCUAUUGCGAAGGCAGCUUACUAAGCUUUAACUGACGCUGAUGCACGAAAGUGUGGGGAUCAAACAGG